rnacentral:tRNA from 1 species
GGCCUGGUGGUCUAGUAGUAUGAUUCCUUCUUAGGGUAUUCAGUCAUUUGGAGGAGGUCCCGGGUUCAAUUCCCGGCCAGGCCC